GACAGUUUGGCCGAGUGGUCUAAGGCGCCGGAUUUAGGCUCUGGUCCGAAAGAGCGUGGGUUCAAAUCCCACAACUGUCA
rfam:Triticum aestivum genome assembly, contig: Triticum_aestivum_CS42_TGACv1_scaffold_229923_3B